AUGACCGUGACGAUCCAGGAUAUGGCUAUGAUCACCGGUCUUCCUAUCGAGGGUAAUCCUCUAUGUAUGAGCACCGAUUCUGAUGGUUGGCGUGAGAAGAUGCAUACCCUUAUCGGUAUGGUUCCUCCGAAGCCUCGACAACCAGAAAGAGAAGACAAGAAGAAGGAAAGAGUCACAGACUAUGUUUGCUGA
rnacentral:rRNA from 1 species